rnacentral:rRNA from 1 species
UACGGGGGGAGCAAGCGUUGUUCGGAUUUACUGGGCGUAAAGGGCGCGUAGGCGGCCAGCACAAGUCAGUUGUGAAAUCUCCGAGCUUAACUCGGAAAGGUCAACUGAUACUGUGCGGCUAGAGUGCGGAAGGGGCAACUGGAAUUCUUGGUGUAGCGGUGAAAUGCGUAGAUAUCAAGAGGAGCACCUGCGGCGGAAGGCGGGUUGCCGUGGGCCGACACUGACGCUGAGGCGCGAAAGCCAGGGGAGCGAACGGG